ensembl:lncRNA novel transcript
GUUUUCUGAGACUGCAUCCACUUUGAUAGUUUCUACUGAGUCCAAAUUAGAACAUCCCAGCUGGUGGGCUGUCUCCCAGGAAGCCCUCGGAGAGGAGCGGUGCAUAGGGGGCACCUGGACACAGCCCACCUCCCCCGAGUAGCGUCAGGUAGGCUUGUCUAUCUACAUCCUUUCGCCCUUUCUCAGGAAACUAUCAGAUGAUGUGCUCCCCCAGAUGAAGAAGUAGUGCCAGGAAAAAGGAGACACGGGAUACAGGGAUCCUGAAGCCGGCGGAGGACAAGGGAGCUCCUGGGAGGACAGCUGUGCUCCGGCCUAGCAAUAGCGAGCAGCUGGUCCAGACUGCCGCCGUGACUCAGAAGAUAGACAUGCGGAGGGUUAUGAUCACAGAGCAACGAUGGUCCUUGUACAUGAAGAUAAAAAUGCUCAGGUGUGCCCAGGUUGAAGAAGAUGAAAGGCCCUGCCUCCCAGAGCGCCCGGGGACACUGGUGAUCUCUUCCAGGUCUGUUUCCACCCACUGCAGCUGUGAUGGAAUCUUGCUCUGUUGCCCAGGCUAGAAUGCAGUGGCGUGAUCUUGGCUCACCAAAAAUUCUGCCUCCUGGGUUCAAGUGCCUCCACACCCAGCUAAUUUUGUAUUUUUAGUAGAGACGAGAUUUCACCAUGUUGGCCAGGCUAGUCUUGAACUCCUGACAUUGUGAUCCACCCACCUCAGCCUCCCAAAGUGCUAAGAUUACAGGUGUGAGCCACCAUGCCCGGCCUACCUGGAGCAUUAUUAAAACCUUAAACCUUUAAA